ACUGCUAAAGCCCCCGCAGAAGAUAAAGUCACUGACAGGUUGCGCCUUCAAUCUGGGCCAUCGCAGGAUUUACUCGGCGGAUGAAGCCGCGACCACGGGAUUAAAUGAAACCCCGGCGACCCCAGAUCAGACACGGAGAACUCGGGAGGAAUUAAAAGGCAUCCAAACAAGGGCAGGAAUAUUUUGGUCUGCUUUUUGCAGUUAGAGCACAGCGAGCUCUUUUCCUUGACACAAAUUGAAGCAAUCAGAAAGGUGUAGGAGUGGUAUGCACUUGGAGGUGCAGCUGGGAGGCCUCCUUUGCUGGAGAAUUGGCAGUCUUACACUUGGUGUUGGACUGGGUGGAGCAGCACGGUGAAGUUGUCCUCAACAAGCACAGUGGUGUUGGGAAAUGGCUGCAUCGAGCACGCGCACUUCAGAAACCACACGACCACUUUCAGCAACUUGCACAGGUCAUUCAAUUCUAAAAGUCAAAUACUAGUGUUACACUGCAAAAAGUGCAAUCUAAGUAAGAUUAAUUAUCUCCAAUAAGGCUGAUAUUUGCUUAUUUUCUGUCUGAUAAGAUCAUUCUUCUCACUAAGCAGAUUUUAUGUUAGAGUGUUUUACUUGUUUUAAGGGUAUUGGUCCUAAAUGAUGUCAGUAAGAUAUUACAGCUUGUUGCUGAGAUUUGAUGAGCUAUAUUGAGUAAAACAUGCUUGAAACUAGAAUAUCAACUGUUGUGUCAUCAACACUCACAAGUAGAAAACUACUUUUUUAAAGUCAUCAUUUCUUACUUCAAGCAUGAAAAAAAAAUCCUGACUUUGACACAAUUGUGUCUCAUAAUUAAAACAGAUGACAGCCAAAUGGACUUUGCUGUUUUAUUUUUGUCAUGUCUGUUCAUGUUUUUGUUUGGGCCAUGUGUUUGUUUUUUGGACUCUUUUUAGUUCCUGGUUGCACUUUCUUGUUUGGUUUGGUUUCCAUGGUCACGCAUGAGUUUUCACCUGUCUUGUCACGCACCUGUUUGGAGUCACACACCUGUUUGGAGUCACGCACCUGUUUGGAGUCACACACCUGUUUGGAGUCACACACCUGUUUGGAGUCACACACCUGUUUGGAGUCACGCACCUGUUUGGAGUCACGCACCUGUUUGGAGUCACACACCUGUUUGGAGUCACGCACCUGUUUCAAGUCACGCACCUGUUUGGAGUCACACACCUGUUUUCACUGAUCACGUCACUAUUUAAAUGUGUGUGUUUCUGUUGUUGGUCCUGGCGUCCUCACACUAUUUCAGCACUCUGCUUCAUGUCAUGUCACAGUUCUUUGCCAAGUAAGAUUUGUUCAUUUAUGCCACAGUUAGUGUUUUUGUUUAAUUGUUCAUAGUUUCUGCAUUUGUGCAAGUUUUGUGUUUAUUACCAAGUUUUGUAUUUCCGCCUUUGUGCGCGCCUUUUGUUUUCCUAGUCAAGUUUUUUACCUCCACUGUGAGCGCCUUUUGUUUAUUCCUUUUUUUGUUUGUUAAAAUUAAAUCAUGUAUUUAAAUUCACGUCUUGCACGCGCCAAUUUUCCUUUGCCUUCCGGAGGAA